rnacentral:rRNA from 1 species
AUGUGUGUAGCAGAUCCUGAGAAGGCAAACCAACUGGACUGGACCAAAAGAAAAGGUAUCAUCUCCGGGAUUGCUCGAGGUCUACUGUAUCUCCACGAGGACUCUCGUCUUAAAGUCAUACACCGUGACCUGAAGCCAAGCAAUGUCUUGCUGGAUGAUGUGGAUAUGAAUCCCAAGAUCUCCGACUUUGGUCUGUCUAGGGCUUUUGGUGGAGAUCAGUCGAUCGACAUAACAAAACGGCCUGUCGGCACGCUUGGAUACAUGUCUCCGGAGUAUGCCUACUGCGGCCAAGUCUCUACCAAGUCAGACAUGUACAGCUUCGGUGUCAUCGUUCUAGAGAUUGUGACUGGCCGGAGGAACAAUAGGUCACUCGAGGAUAAUAACACGGCCGCCAGAUCUCUGCUCAGCUACGUAUGGGAUAAGUGGAGCGCAGGGACGACGCACGAGGUGGUGGAUCCUUCCCUGCGCGGACGUUACCUCGAGGGUGAGGUGGUCAGCUGCGUGCGGAUCGGGCUGUUGUGCGUCCAGGAGGACCCGAGUGCCAGGCCGGACGCGGCGGAGGUGGUCCUCAUGCUCGACAGCCACUCCACGUCCAUCACCAUGCGGACUCCCUCCAGGCCGGCCUUCUGCUUCACAGAGCCUGGCGUCGUCAACCCGGCGCUCGGUUACCAUGGCACCCGGGAUGCUAAUGCUAUGGCCACCGGCCACCUGCCAACGCCCGGUUCAGAUAAUGAAGUGACCAUCUCCGAUCUCCAGCCUAGGUAG